ensembl:lncRNA
CGCGACAUCUCGGCUUGGGCAGCUGCCGAGAGCCACUCUCUGCUGCUCGGGAUGCUGAGAGGAAGGAGAGCGGGAUCUGGCCUUACAAACAUCAGUAUCGCCGCCAGCCCCCGCCGACAGGCCUGACUUCACCAGUCUCCUCGCCGCCUCCCUGCCAACAACGCUCCGUCCCUAUCUUCGGCCAACGCGAGCGACUUCCGGCGCAGGGAAGUGCGUCAUCAACACACCGGAAGUAAACGUCAUCACCCGGCGCCAGCCACACACGCCGUGAAGGCCUGAGCUUUAGACGCUGGUUCGCGCAGGUUGGGAAAGAGCCGCUGUUGGCACCAAGGUCGCCUCUCCUCCGCGCCACCAUGCAGGUCUCCAACCUCAACGAGGUGAAGAUUUACAGUCUCAGCUGCGGCAAGUCCCUUCCUGAGUGGCUUUCAGACAGGAAGAAGAGAGCGUUGCAGAAGAAAGAUGUCGACGUCCGCAGGAGGAUCGAGCUCAUCCAGGACUUUGAGAUGCCAACCGUCUGCACCACGAUGCAGGUGUCCAAAGACGGGCAGUACAUCCUCGCCACUGGAACAUACAAACCCUCGGGUUCGAUGUUAUGACACCUACCAGUUAUCCUUGAAGUUUGAAAGGUGUUUAGAUUCAGAAGAUUGUCUUCUUGCAUAACGACCGGUAUAUUGAAUUUCACUCACAAUCAGGUUUUUAUUACAAAACCAGAAUACCCAAGUUUGGAAGGGAUUUCUCCUACCACUACCCGUCCUGCGACCUGUACUUUGUCGGGUGCGAGGUAUUGGGGCCAAAACUCUUUGCUUCCUUUUUUCCUCCUCCCAAAUAACCGCUUUCUCUUCCUAAAUUUCUUGUGCAUUUUAUUUAUCUGUUUAGUUAGCCUUGAUAAAGUUUAUGUGGUUACUGCAAAAAAAGAACAACAAAAAAAAGUCUUAGAAAACAAGGGAUAAACAGCAACAACAAAAAACCCCAGUGCUCUACAUAUUAAUGCAUUUGAUUUACAAGUGGCUUCCUGAUAUUUUAACACCUGUUAUACUGCCUACUAAAAUAUGUUCUAACAUUAAAAAUAUUUAUAAUAAUUACAUGUCACAGUAGUUAAUUAAACUCUGGGAAUACUGAUAGGAAAUACAUAAGCCUGUUGAAUAUAUCUCAAAUGCUUCACUGUGUGAGAUUGUAUUGUUUUUCUUUUUCUUUUGUACAUUUCUGUUUAUGUCUCCAAAGUUGUAGUUUCUGCUUUAGGUUUGUUCAGUAUCAGUGAUAAUUUUGUUUUGUUUUUGUUUUUUGAGACAGGGUCUUGGUGUGUAGCCCAAGCUGGCCUCGAAUUUGCAGUGAUCCUCCUGCCUCAGCCUCCUCAGUGCUGGGAUUACAGAUGUGUGCCACCACACCUAGCCUCAGUGAGGAGUUUCUGUCUGGGUCAUCUUGUGAUGAAGGGACUGUAGUUGGAGGACAUUUGGGCCAGGUGCUGAGAAUAGUCCUGAGAUCAUGAAGGCGGUGGUAAUGGAUCACGUGGCUCAUGUGUCAUGGCGUUUCAUUAUGGAGACCGGUGACCAUUUAACUUAAAAGGUUAAUGCAAACAUAGCCUCAUAUUGGUCUCGCCACAUAGUUGCUGAUCACUACUUGGAGUAUUUCAGUGGAACUAUUUCAAGUAGAAUAGGCCUGAGGCUCUAAUUCCAGCUACUUAGGAGGCUGAGACAGGAGGAUUGCAAAUUGGAGGCCAGCCUGGGCAACUUAGGAAGACCUUGUCUCAAAACAUAAAAGAGGGCUGGGGAUGUAGCUCCAUGACAAAACACCCCAGAGUUCUCUCAGUACCACAAAAAAAUGAGCAGACCGAUUAACAAAAACCAAAAGUGAAAAGAAAUUUUUUGAGAGGACCCUAAAAAACAUGAGACCUUUUUCCUGCCUUGGAGUUGCCUCGGGUUGUAGUGCGAAUUGCUCAGGGCUCACCCUUCCUGUCUGCUGGGGCGGAGAGAGGAGCCCGCUGGGGAGCUGCCCAGGAAGGGUGUGGAGGGUGAACUGCUGGGGAAGCCACUUUCUUGGCUCUGUCUCGUGGGAUUCCAGAACUUUAUUCUUUUUUUUAAAUACAUUUUAUUUUAUCCUGUUCCCCCCUUCAAGCCCCCUCCCGUCCCUAUGUACAGAAGCUUUGUUUCCAUUUUUUCCUUCUAUUUUCACUUUUUUCUUGUCUCUUUCCUCCCUCCCUCCCUUCUUCUUCUUUCCGUUUGAACACUUUCUUCCCAUUUCCCAACAUCCAUUAUACAUCUCAGUCCUUAUUUCCACAUUCAGUUUCUCACACCAGAGAAACAAUGUGGUAUUUAAACAUGUGUGUCCAACUUAUUUCACUUAAGAGUAUGGUCUCAAGGUGUAUCCAUUUAGAUAUAAAUGUCUGAAUCUCAUCCUUUAUGGCUGAGUAGUACUCCAUUGUAUAAAAAAAAAACCACAUCUUUAUCCACUUGUCAGUUGAUGGGCAUUGGGGCUGUUUCCAAGAUUUAGCUAUUACAAAUUGUGCUGCUACAAACAUGGGUGUGCAUAUAUCGCUGUGGCAUGAUGCUUUUAAUUCUUUGGGGAAGAUACCAAGAAGAGACAUAGCUGGGUCUAAUGGGACUUCCAGUCCUAGUUCUUUGGGGUGUCUCCAUACUGAUUUCCACAGUGGUUGCACCAGUCUACACUCCCACCAGCAGGAGAGAAGGAUUCCUUUUCUCCACAACCCCUCCAGCAUUUGUUAUUGGUUGAUUUCUUGAUAGCAGCCAUUCUUUGUGGGGUGAGGUGGAAUCGUAGCAUUGUUUUAAUUUGCAUCUCUCAAAUGACCAGUGAUGUUGAACAUUUUUUCAUAUAUUUAUUUACCAUUUCUAAUUCUUUAUCUGAGAAGUAUCUUUAUUUCAGAUGCCCAUUUUUGCUAUGGGUCUUUAAAUUUGAGGGAUCUGAUUUUUUUUAGGGUUUUUUUGGUACUGGGGAUCAAACUCAGGACCUUGCACUUGCGAGACAGGUGGCAGAACCACUGAGCUAAAUCCCCAGCCCUUGAGUUCUUUAUAUAUUCUAGAUAGUAGUCCUUUAUCUGAAUAGCUGGUAAAAUUUUUUCCUGCAUUGUGGGCUGUCUCUUCACACCGUUGGUGGUUUCUCUUUCUGUGCAAAAGCUUUUUAAUAAGAUGAGGUCCUAAUUGUUCAUAAAGUCUUUGCCUACUCCUAUGUCCUCAACUGCAGAACUUUGUUCUUUUUUUUUUUUUUUUUGGUACCAGGGAUCGAACUUGGGUCCUUGCAUUUGUGAGGCAGGCCUCGGAACCGCUGAGCUAAAUCUCCAGCCCCAGAACUUUAUUCUUAAGUGCUGCCUUUUUAUGAAUAUAAAAAUUAUGUGUUAUUUAUUUUAGAAAAUUGGGAAAAUACAGAAAAGUUUGAAAAAAUCUUGCUGUAUGGUUAUGCCACCCCAAAGAAACUGUGUUAGUAUUUUAUUGUGUUGCUUUUUAGUCUUUUGUUCAAUUUUUUUUUCUUGAACUGGGGAUCGAACUCGGGACCUUGUGCUUGAGAGGCAAGUGGUGGCACUACUGAGCUAAAUCUCUGGCCUUAGUCUUAUGUUCGUAUUAGAUACUUUAGGUACUUUUGGAUGUUCAGUCUCCUUAGUGACGUCCUAAUCUUUCCUUGGUGGUUUAACUCUUUUACAUGGCAAUUCCUAAAUGAGGUGAAUAUAGGUUUAGAACAGAUUUUUUUAUCAGUUUUACCAAAGAAGGUAAAUUGUGAGUGAUAUAUAUAAUUAUGAAAUUUAUAUUUACGAAACUUCUGUGUGCUUACAAGUUGAUCACCGUUCCCCAGGCAUUUAGCUUGCUUUGUUAUUUUGCAGUUCUGAAGUUUACAGAUUAAACCUGGAACAAGGCCGUUACCUGAACCCCUUGCAGACAGAUGCCGCGUGAGUGUCUGGGUGCCUUGCAGUGUUCCUCUUGGCCAGCAGGGGGCGUGGGGUGCCCGGGGGAUCGGGUAGGGGCAGCUUAGUUAUAAAGAGCACUGUGCAUCCCAAUUUGAACAGGGCUACGGACGUAGCUCUGUGACGGCAGCCUUGGAUUUGCAGAAUGUGAAUGAGUGAAUCAAGAAAUACAAGUUUUAUUUUUUGGUACCGGGGAUCGAACUCGGGACCUUAUGCUUGCAAGGCAGGUGGUUAUGAGUCCAUGUUUUUUGUUGGGCACUGGGACUCGAACUCAGGACCUUGUGCUUGUGAGGCAGGCGCUGGAACCACUGAGCUAAAUCCCCGGCCUAUGAGUCCAUGUUUGCAGCACACAAUGAUCACACUUCUCAAGGGGAGAUGGCCCAUGCAUGUAGUGCACCUUCAUUUUACAUCCCCUCCUCUCUCUCCUUCCCUCCAUUUGGAGGAUAAAGACUAGAAGCACAGGGCACAUUACAAAAUCAAGUAAACCUUAAAUAUAUUUUUGUUCCACACUGGCCUGCAAUGUUUUUAUUUAAGAAAAAAAAACUUGCGAUGUCAUAGUACAUUAUCGUGUGAAAGAAAGUCAUCCACUUUUCUGCUGUUUGACUUCCUGUUUGUAGUAACAGCUGUUAUUUAUCAAGUGUCUUCUGUCCUCUGGACACUGCUGGCCACUUGCUGUUUUUUUCCAUUUAAUCUUCACACAGUCCAAGGAGGUGGGUGAAACCCCCGCCUUACAGAGAAGCCAAGGAGGUGUAGUGAGGACGCCCAGCCCUGGGGUUGUCAUGGUGAUAGCCAGGGAGAACAACGUCUGUGACAUAAAUUCCAUGCACGGCUUAUUUGCCACAGGAACAAUAGAGGGUCGAGUGGAGUGCUGGGACCCUAGAGCCCGGAGCAGAGUCGGUCUGCUGGACUGUGCCCUAAACAGCGUCACAGUGGACUCAGAGGUCAGCAGCCUGCCGACCAUCUCUGCCCUGCGGUUCAGUGGUGCCCUCACCAUGGCAGUGGGCACGUCCACCGGGCAGGUUUUAUUAUAUGACCUUCGAUCCAGUAAGCCACUGCUAGUUAAGGAUCACCAGUAUGGGCUGCCCAUCAAGUCCAUCCACUUCCAGGGACGCUUUAGAUUUGAUUCUGUCAGCAGACUCUCGCAUCAUCAAAAUGUGGAAUAAGAACUCAGGGAAAAUAUUUACCUCCUUGGAGCCAGAACAUGACCUCAAUGACGUCUGCCUGUACCCCGGCUCAGGAAUGCUCCUCACUGCCAACGAGGCCCCCAAGAUGGGCAUCUAUUACGUCCCGGUCCUGGGCCCCGCGCCUCGAUGGUGCUCUUUCCUGGACAGCCUGACAGAAGAAUUAGAGGAAAAUCCAGAGAGCACGGUCUCACGACGAUUACAAAUUCGUCACCAAGAAAGACCUUGAAAAUUUAGGGCUCAUGCAUCUCAUCGGCUCGCCCUUCCUGCGGGCGUACAUGCAUGGGUUUUUCAUGGACAUAAGGCUCUAUCACAAGGUGAAACUGAUGGUCAACCCAUUUGCUUAUGAAGAGUACAGGAAAGAUAAAAUUCGACAGAAGAUAGAAGAGGCGCGGGCACAGCGCGUCCAGUUAAAGAAGUUGCCAAAAGUUAACAAAGAGCUGGCUCUCAAAUUAAUGGAGGAAGAAGAAGAGAAGCAGAAGUCUACAUGGAAAAGGAAAGCAAAGAGCCUUCCUAAUAUUCUCACUGAUGAUCGAUUUAAAGUUAUGUUUGAGAAUCCUGACUUCCAAGUAGAUGAAGAAAGUGAAGAAUUCAGGCUUUUGAAUCCACUUGUUUCAAAAAAUUAGUGAGAAAAGGAAGAAGAAACUAAGACUCUUAGAGCAACAAGAACUUCAGAGAAAAAGUAACGUGCUCUUUGUCAUUUAGAAUUUGUUACUGUUUCUUUAAUAGUCAAAAAUGUGAAUCAGAAAACCUCUGCUUAGACUUGAGAUGUAUUCAAUUUCCUCCUACUUGUUUGACGCUUGCGGUGUGAUCGAAAAGUAUGGUGAAUGUUUAAAUUUUUUUUUUUUUUUUUUUUUUAAAUUUAUUGCAGUAAAAGCCUUACUGCCGUGAAUCCCCUCAGAAUCCCUCCCUUCACUUUAAACACAUUCAUCCCAUUGUCCUUGUCACUUUCUGCACCAGCUCUGGAGUCCUCUUUCCUGAGGGUCUUCAGCUGCACUGUCCUGGCUGCCUCCAUGUCCUGAAUGGAUUCAAAAUCUUUUCCUUUCAUGGUCAUUUUGACUUUAGGGAAGAGCCAGAAAUGGCACAGCGCAAAUUGGUGAAUAAGGUGGAUGAGGACACAGUGUCAUGUGUUUGACAGAAAUUACAGUAAAUGUUCGAUAGCAAGGGGUGAUCAAAAAAUACAAUGAGUGAUUAAAUUUUAAAAUUCGUGGGCCAAAGAUUUAGCUCAGUGGCACCAUGCCUGCCUCACAAGCGCAAGGUCCUGAGUUCGAUCCCCGGUAUCAGAGAAAAAAAAAAAAGACUCCAGUUCUAAAAUUCAUUACAGUAAAAGACACAUUGCCGGAAAUCAUCCUCAAAAUUGUCUCUCUUGCUACAAACACACUUAUCCCAUGGCUCUCAGCAACGUGUCCUUUACUGAAAUAGGGUUUUGUAGUUUCAGCCUUCCUGUAGUUGCAGUCACCCUGCUUACCACAGGAGUCUCUUCAGUGCCGGUUGGGCACAGCAGCUUAGUCUCCCACCUGGUGCUCUGGAAAUAAAAUGAUGGUCAGGGGCCCACUCCCUCCCCAAUUCCAGGAGGAGGAAGAGGAGCCGGAAGGCAGGCCAAGCGACUCGGAGAGCUCUGACAGCUCGGAGGAUGAGAAGGACUGGGUGGCCGAGGUCCGAAGCAGCGCCGACUGUUGCAGCAGGAGGAAAAGGUGCGACGGCAGGAGCAGUGCCGAGAGGACCAGCAGGCAGUCCUGAAGCCCCAGUUCUACGAGAUCAAGGCCGGGGAGGAGUUCCGAAGCUUCCGGGAGUCUGCCUCCAAGCAGAAGCUGAUGAACAAAACCCUUGAGGAUCGGUUGAAACUUGAAGCAAAAAAUGGCACAUUGGCGUCGGCAGCC